UGCGCGCGGUGCGGCCGUCGCCCCUCUUUUCGCGGCGUUCUCCACCUGCGCGGGCCUGAAUGGCCUUCAGGAGCACAGUCGGCCUGAGGAGUUGACGGUUACUCACCGCCGUGAGCCCAAGUAACUCGCCCUCCUUCGGCUAGAAACCCUCCGCCUGGGCCCGCGCGACAGGAGCGCGGUCUCUGAGGGGAGCGGCGACCCCGCCAGCCCCGGUCUCUUUCCCUGGCGGCGGCGGCUUCUUCCGUGGGACAAUAUGUUCAAGAGAAUGGCCGAAUUUGGGCCUGACUCCGGCGGGAGAGUAAAGGCUGGAGUGCACUAGCGCAAUCUCGGCUCUCCGCAACCUCCACCUCCUGGAUUCAAGCGAUUCUCCUGCCUCCAAGCGAUUCUCCUGCCUCAGCCUCCUGAAUAGCUGGAAUUACAGGGUGUUACUAUCGUUAAACCAAUAGUUUACGGUAAUGUUGCUCGGUAUUUUGGAAAGAAAAGAGAAGAAGAUGGGCACACUCAUCAGUGGACAGUAUAUGUGAAACCAUAUAGAAAUGAGGAUAUGUCAGCAUAUGUGAAGAAAAUCCAGUUUAAAUUACAUGAAAGCUAUGGCAAUCCUUUAAGAGUUGUUACUAAACCUCCAUAUGAAAUUACUGAAACAGGAUGGGGUGAAUUCGAAAUAAUCAUCAAAAUAUUUUUCAUUGACCCUAAUGAAAGACCUGUAACCCUGUAUCAUUUGCUAAAGCUGUUUCAAUCAGACACCAAUGCAAUGCUGGGGAAAAAGACAGUGGUUUCAGAGUUCUAUGAUGAAAUGAUAUUUCAAGACCCAACAGCAAUGAUGCAACAAUUAUUGACAACAUCUCGUCAGCUAACAUUAGGAGCCUAUAAGCAUGAAACAGAAU
rnacentral:lncRNA from 10 species